GAUGAACGCUAGCGAUAGGCCUAACACAUGCAAGUCGAGGGGCAUCACAUGAAGUAGCAAUACGGAUGGUGGCGACCGGCGCACGGGUGAGUAACACGUAUGCAACCUGCCUUCAACAAGGGGAUAACCCGUUGAAAGACGGACUAAUACCCUAUAACACAGGGGUCCCGCAUGGGAAUAUUUGUUAAAGGACAACCGGUUGAAGAUGGGCAUGCGUUCCAUUAGCUAGUUGGCGGGGUAACGGCCCACCAAGGCAACGAUGGAUAGGGGAACUGAGAGGUUUAUCCCCCACACUGGUACUGAGACACGGACCAGACUCCUACGGGAGGCAGCAGUGAGGAAUAUUGGUCAAUGGACGCAAGUCUGAACCAGCCACGUCGCGUGAAGGAAGACGGCCCUACGGGUUGUAAACUUCUUUUAACGGGGAAUAAAGUGCCCCACGCGUGGGGUUUUGCAUGUACCGUAUGAAUAAGGAUCGGCUAACUCCGUGCCAGCAGCCGCGGUAAGUACUGACUCA
rnacentral:rRNA from 1 species